rnacentral:rRNA from 1 species
AGAGUUUGAUCAUGGCUCAGGAUGAACGCUAGCGGCAGGCUUAACACAUGCAAGUCGAGGGGUAGGGUAGCAAUACCUGAAACCGGCGCACGGGUGCGUAACGCGUAUGCAAUCUACCUUGUACAGGGGGAUAGCCCAGAGAAAUUUGGAUUAAUACCCCAUAGUAUUUUCAAAUGGCAUCAUUUGAUUAUUAAAGUUCCAACGGUACAAGAUGAGCAUGCGUCCCAUUAGCUAGUUGGUGUGGUAACGGCAUACCAAGGCUACGAUGGGUAGGGGUCCUGAGAGGGAGAUCCCCCACACCGGUACUGAGACACGGACCAGACUCCUACGGGAGGCAGCAGUGAGGAAUAUUGGUCAAUGGGCGCAAGCCUGAACCAGCCAUGCCGCGUGCAGGAUGAAGCAUCUAUGGUGUGUAAACUGCUUUUGUACAGGAAGAAACACUCCCUCGUGAGGGAGCUGACGGUAC